AACGCGGCUGCCGUCUCCCCGGCGACAUCCGACCCGGGGUGAUCCUCGUCGAUCUUAUAAGCUCGACGAGACGUGGUCAUAUCUUCCGGCCUUUGCCAACAAUAAUGAUCCGUAUCUCCUUCACCCACCUGAAUCCAGAGUACGUUAGGAUGAGUGUGAGCUUUGACGAAGUAAUCCGUCCCCCACUUGAUUGCCUCAAGCGCGUAUCUGUACUCGCCCGCGGCGGCUAUAUCUUCACCAUAUUCAAUGACGCUCCAUGAUAGCAUCGUUAUAGUAAAA
rnacentral:misc_RNA from 1 species